rnacentral:antisense_RNA from 1 species
CUUGACCGAGCCGAGGUAGAGCGGGCGGCCCGCCGGACGGUCCUGGCCGUACGUGGCGAGGACCGCCUGCGCCUC